GCUAAAAAAACCCGGCAAAUCGCUUGCACAUGAAUGCACAACUGGUAUGGAGCCCAUGAAGCUGGCAAGCACUUUGUAAUUUUCAGUACAAAUGACGUGAACGCGUGUUUCCAUAAUGCCCCCUCAGAUAAAGUGGCAGGGACAGAGAACAGAGCAUGCUGGGAAAUGCGCCACGGCCAUCUCAUGGCACAGUCGGCGCUUCCUCUCGCACUCCCAUGAGCCAAAAAAGGAGAGGGAGGACAGCAACAGGGAGCACCAUCCCUAAGAGAAGCCUUAAAUGGAACCGAAUGAUGAUCGGAAACUCAUCUGAAUUCAGGAGCUGCGAGAUAUGCACCGUAUUCCCCAACAAGCACGUUUUAACAUGUCUAAUUAAAAAUGUGUGAGAGAAGAGGGGGUCUCAGCCAGAGCGGCCACUGAAGGCUGAGCAUGAGUGAUGAAGCUAACAAAGCAGAGCAAAUAGCGACAUCCACGCUGACAGCCGUGAUCUAUGGAGCCC